ACAGAGACCUCAAGCGUUAUCCGGAAUCAUUGGGCGUAAAGCGUACCGAUAGGUGGUUAAGAAAGUCAGAUGUGAAAUCUCCGAGCUCAACUCGGAAUCUGUCAUUUGAAACUUCUUGACUAGAGGAGCAAAGAGGAAGCUGGAACGAACGGUGUAGUAGUGAAAUGCGUUGAUAUCGUUCGGAACACCAAUAGCGUAGGCAGGCUUCUGGGUGCUACCUGACACUGCUAGGACGAAAGCGUGGGGAGCGAAGGGGAUUAGAUACCCCCGUAGUCCACGCUGUAAACGAUGUACAUUAGGCGCUAGGGAGUAUCGACCCUCUUUAGUGCCAAAGCUAACGCGUUAAAUGUACCGCCUGGGGAGUACGGCCGCAAGGCUA
rnacentral:rRNA from 1 species